rnacentral:rRNA from 1 species
AUGCAAACCCUGGCUCCUCUGCCUCAGCGCCGCAGAGGGGAGAGGGAGCGAGAAGAAGAACAGGCGACCCGACGCGCCAUGGAGUUCCUAAUGCAGCCAGUCCACAGACCCACUAUUUUUGAGGAGGUCGGGAAGAGCCUGGUGCCGGAAGGUUCGCCGGCAUUUGGGACAAGGCGAACGGCGGUUGAGGUGGUGCUGCACGAGGGAAUAGUUUUGAGCGGGGACGAGCGGGUCUGCCCGGCGUCAGGAGCGGCGACGUUGAGUGGCCAAGGACGAAUCUGUAGUGGUGCGCCGGCGGCGGCUAUGAGCGGCAAAGGACGAAUAUGCAGCGUGGUGCAGGCGGCAGUGGUGAGAAAUUAUCAGGUUGCGGAUUGGUGCUGCUGGCCCCAACAGGCACCUUGCACUACCUGUGUAAGCACGUUCGAGAAGGCAGUGGGGGUGUCCACGGAAAAGCCGACGGCAGAUAAUGUAAUCAUUCAAGUGCUGGGUACUGGUACCUUUGACUCGCUUGGAGAAGCAUAUGAUUUGUACAACUUGUAUUCUUGGGAGGAAAGGAUUUGGUAUAAGAUAUGGGAAAAGCUAGUUAAAUGUGGAGAGGGUGAAGUGCAUGCAGGAAAUUGUCUGCCGGUGUUCGGGGGAAAGCUGGUGUGGAGAACACAAGGUCCCUUCGGUGUGAAUGCCCAGCGUUGA